rnacentral:rRNA from 1 species
AGUGAACGCUGGCGGUAGGCCUAACACAUGCAAGUCGAACGGCAGCACAGUAAGAGCUUGCUCUUACGGGUGGCGAGUGGCGGACGGGUGAGGAAUACAUCGGAAUCUACUUUUUCGUGGGGGAUAACGUAGGGAAACUUACGCUAAUACCGCAUACGACCUACGGGUGAAAGCAGGGGAUCUUCGGACCUUGCGCGAUUGAAUGAGCCGAUGUCGGAUUAGCUAGUUGGCGGGGUAAAGGCCCACCAAGGCGACGAUCCGUAGCUGGUCUGAGAGGAUGAUCGGCCACACGGGAACGGAGACACGGUCAAGACUCCUACGGGAGGCAGCAGUGGGGAAUGUGGGACAAUGGGCGCAAGCCUGAUCCAGCCAUACGGCGUGGGUGAAGAAGGCCUUCGGGUUGUAAAGCCCUUUUGUUGGGAAAGAAAAGCAGCAGGUUAAUACCCCGCUGUUCUGACGGUACCCAAAGAAUAAGCACCGGCUAACUUCGUG